rnacentral:lncRNA from 1 species
UUUUAAAAUCCAUGUACACAGCUUCUAUAAAUAGCUUGACAUUCACCAAUGUUUCCUUAUUUUGUAUUUGUUCUGUUUUAUGAGGAAAAUGUGAUCCAUCACUAUAAGAGAAUAGUUGCAUUAAGAUUAAGUCAUUAAUCUGAUGUAGACUGUUUAUUUGGACUGUUUGUUAGGACUUUGGUGAAUGAAGCCCGGUGGAGAUUAAGGAGUGUUUCAUUAUUUUUUUUUUUUAUUUAUUUCAUAGAAAACUGGACGCACAGUUCUGCUGGCCGGUCCUCCUGCACGUUCAGCUGCUGUGGCGACAUCUGAAUCUAUAUUUGGAUCGGGAUAUGAAUCUGGAUCUGGAUCUGAUGAAGAUCUUCGGGAUGCUGUAGAGAGCUUUCUGUCUUCUCGUCGGUUAAGUGGUAAAAAAGUGAAAAACAAAUGUAAAAACAGACAAAACAUUUUAUGAUUAUCCUUCCAUUGUGUUACCAAUAAGUACUAUUUAUUCAUUUUAAGUGUCAGACAAAUACAUGAAUAUAUGUUCAGCAUAAAACAAAAUAGAAGCCUUUAGAACUUAACAGCAUUUCAAAAGAUUUUAGUGUGUCCGCACUUUAUACUGCAUUACUUUAAUAUUUACAGAAAAUACUGGAAGUUUUGUAAAUUUAGAUUAGGCAUUAGACUGUCAGCAGGCUAAGCGUUUCCACUAACAUCUGGAGAUCACUGGUUUGAAUCCCGAUUAUGUAGCUUGCCAUCAGCUAGGAGCCCUGAGAGAGAAUAAUUGGCU